GUUUGAUCCUGGCUCAGAACGAACGCUGGCGGCGUGCCUAACACAUGCAAGUCGAACGGAGAGUUUGGUUUGCGGUUGUAAAGCUUGAGGUUUUUAGUUCGCUAAGAACCAAAGGCUUUUGACCAAUAACCUAUUGCUCUUAGUGGCGAACGGGUGAGUAACACGUAGGCAACCUACCUCUAAGUGGGGGACAACAUCUCGAAAGGGAUGCUAAUUCCGCAUGUGGUGAUAAUUCGCAUGAAUUGUUUACUAAAGGUGGCCUCUAUUUAUACGCUAUCGCUUAGAGAUGGACCUGCGGCUGAUUAGCUUGUUGGUAAGGUAACGGCUUACCAAGGCAAAGAUCAGUAGCCGACCUGAGAGGGUGAACGGCCACACUGGGACUGAGACACGGCCCAGACUCCUACGGGAGGCAGCAGUGAGGAAUAUUGCGCAAUGGGGGAAACCCUGACGCAGCGACGCCGCGUGGAUGAUGAAGGCCUUCGGGUCGUAAAAUCCUUUCAGAAGGGACGAAAUCAAAAGGGAAAAUAUUCCUUUUGGAUGACGGUACCUUCAGAAGAAGCCCCGGCUAACUACGUGCCAGCAGCCGCGGUAAUACGUAUGGGGCGAGCGUUGUUCGGAAUUAUUGGGCGUAAAGGGUAUGUAGGCGGUUUGAUAAGUCAGGCGUGAAAGUCCAUGGCUUAACCUUGGAAAGCCGUUUGAAACUGUCAAACUUGAGUCCAGGAGAGGAGAGCGGAAUUCCCGGUGUAGCGGUGAAAUGUGUAGAUAUCGGGAAGAACAUCAGUGGCGAAAGCGGC
rnacentral:rRNA from 1 species